ensembl:snoRNA
AUCCUUUUCCAGUUCUUAACCAUGAUGACUGGGUGUUUACACACUUGUAUAAAUGUGCCUCCCUUAAAUCUUGUUACACACUUGACACAUUACCCAUCUGUCA